UACGGAGGGGGCAAGCGUUGUUCGGAAUUACUGGGCGUAAAGGGCGCGCAGGCGGCUGCUCAAGUCAGGCGUGAAAGGCCUGGGCUCAACCCCGGGAAUUGCGCUUGAGACUGGGCUGGCUUGAGUGCGGGAGAGGAUGGUGGAAUUCCCAGUGUAGAGGUGAAAUUCGUAGAUAUUGGGAAGAACACCGGUGGCGAAGGCGGCCAUCUGGACCGCAACUGACGCUGAGGCGCGGAAAGCGUGGGGAGCAAACAGGG
rnacentral:rRNA from 1 species